rnacentral:piRNA from 1 species
GUCCACGUGACUGGAUAAUGUAGGUGCUA